rnacentral:tRNA from 1 species
GGUGCCGUAGGCAAAUUGGUAAAGCCACUGACCUUUCAAGUCAGCGUCUGCGGGUUCAAAUCCCGUCGGCACUG